CGGGGUGAGUAACGCGUGGGUAACCUACCCUGUACACACGGAUAACAUACCGAAAGGUAUGCUAAUACAGGAUAAUAUAUUUGAGAGGCAUCUCUUGAAUAUCAAAGGUGAGCCAGUACAGGAUGGACCCGCGUCUGAUUAGCUAGUUGGUAAGGUAAUGGCUUACCAAGGCGACGAUCAGUAGCCGACCUGAGAGGGUGAUCGGCCACAUUGGAACUGAGACACGGUCCAA
rnacentral:rRNA from 1 species